GCGACUUUGUCUGUACAAAGUACAAGCUGGUCUCCAUAUUGGAAGAGAAGGUUCAAAGUCUGGAGAAACAAGUAUCAGCCCUGCGUUGCAUAAGACAGACAUCAGUAUAUGCUUCUAUGGGCACAACAUUCUGAAGAAUCGGAGCACACUGCACAGAGGGGACUGAGGGACGGUGAAGAAAUUUGGCAGCAUGUGACCUCCAGAAGAAGAAAGAGGGGUGUCCAUGUACCAGCAAUGCAGAUACAGCAGCCAGUGGUGGAGCCAGGAAGAGGACCCAGCCCUCCUGAAUCCCAGUGUAGCAUGCUAGCCAUUGGGCUCUCAUUUCAUCUUCACUGCUAGCUUGCUGGCUGACCUUGGUCAAAUCAAUUUGCCAACCUGCCUCAGUUUCCCCAUAUGUAAAACAGAGGUAAUGGCACUGAUCACCUGACGGAAAUAUAGAAGAGCUAGGUAUUAAUUGUUAUUAAAUAUUUUAUAUUAUUAUUUUUAUUAUUAUUAUUCAGUGGGGUCUCUCCUGAUUUACACAGGUGUGAGUGAAUGCAAAAUCAUGCCCAGAGACAUUACACAAUGAGCUGUCUUGGCUCCUAUGUCCACCCUAUAGGAGGGCUCGCAGGAUGUGAGGGACAGGCUUAGAAAUAGCUGUGCCAGUGAGAUCCCUUCCAUGGCCACAAUAGGAGUUGGGGUAAGACUGGCCCAUUCCUUCUGAUGGGGUCUGCAGAAGCACGUGCUCUAGUGACCUGUAGGUCUCUCUAGGACUCACCAUAUGCACAUGUCAGUGUGGCACCGAAUCUCUUGGGAGAUGAGCCUUCAUCAAGAGCAGGUAAGGCUCCUUUUCAAGCUAAACCUGAAAGGCUGUGCUGUGUACACUGGAUUCCGCUGGGAAAUACAGGAUCCCUGUUAGAGCUGCAGCAAUCCUAAGCACUCAGCAUCUGCGCUGCUCUCGGUUGUAAAUUUGAAACACUUUCUAGGUUUUACUGGGUUUGGGAUGGGGCCAAUUUAUUCUCUCCUGAGAUAACCAUAGUAAAUCAGCAAUGUGUUUGCAAAAAAAAAGCGCCAUUGAAAUAAACCAGUUGUGCAAGA